AUUCAAAUAUGAUUGAAAAAUAUGGAAAACAUUCUAAUUGUACGUGUGUGUAAGAUUAAGAAUCCAAAGCAACCAGAAUUAUGAUGAACAAGUAUCAUAGAUGUGUUUAUCCAAUCAGUAAUUGAGUGUUGGAAUUUUCGAAACUCUCCAAAGAGCACGUACUGACCCAUGCCGGUAAAACUGCGCUCAAUAUCCAGGUGAUUGUAGCACAAUAGAUGAUUGGCAUCUGGAAAGCUGAGCUUAAAUGCUUUAUGGAUGGCAAUUUCAUCAUCUGUGCCAAAUUAAAA